GAUGUGGCUGUGAACUUCAUCCAGGAGGAGUGGGCUUUGCUGGAUUUUUCCAUGAAGAAUCUGUAGAGAUGUGAUGAGGGAAGCCAUCAGCACCUGUCUUCUAUAGCUGCAGUCCAAGAGGCCAACUGGAACAUCAACAUGAGACACUAAUCCAGCUGACUGGACACAAUUGGAAAAACUGGUUAUUUUACCAAGGCUUUGCCUGGAAUGGUGUGCCUUCCUUCAAGGAAUCAAAUUUGACUUAUGGAGCCAAUAAAGCCCUUGGAAAGCUGGCCUCAGAUUUUGUGUACACAGUCCCUGUACAGGGUUUCUGAUCUGUGGUAAGUAAAGAAUGUCACAUUUUGACAGGCCAGGAGUCCCAAGUUAUCUUGGAACCUCAAGAGAAGAGGAAUUCACCCAACUCACAGGUAUUCAGUGGUACAAAUCCAUGGCUGGGCUUCCCUUUAAAAAGGUCUUACCUCAGAUUCCUUCUACGAAACAAAGUUCCAUCAAAGCCCAUUUAAAGGGCCGGUGUAACAAGUAAUUAUGCUUGCUCCACUGUAUGCAAAUAACUAAGCCAAGUAUAAUAAAGAAACUCAGUCCUACUAGCAUGAUUUGUCUUUUAAUGAAAAUGAUAGCACACCUGUUGUUAAAUUCUGGUGUUGCCCAGUGUUUUUCAAAUCUUGCUAUUUUCUGUUUAAAUUAAAUUCUAAUUUUUCUGGCUACAAGUUUCCAAAAUAGCUGUGCUUUCUAAAGGCCCUAUAAACUGAAAACUUGAUGUUUCAGCAGGCUCUGCCUCUAAGCCCCCUGACUCACACAGGAGGAAAUAAAUAGGAAAUCUUAAGCUAAAAAUCAUAAAAAAAUAACCAAGUGAGAAUUACUCAUCCUAUUCAGUCUCACCCCUACCUUGUCAAAUACUUUUAUCGUU